rnacentral:rRNA from 1 species
UACGGGGGGGGCAAGCGUUGUUCGGAAUUACUGGGCGUAAAGGGCGCGUAGGCGGCCUUCUAAGUCGGACGUGAAAUCCCUCGGCUUAACCGAGGAACUGCGUCCGAGACUGAAAGGCUUGAAUCCGGGAGAGGGAUGUGGAAUUCCAGGUGUAGCGGUGAAAUGCGUAGAUAUCAGGAGGAACACCGGUGGUGUAGACGGCUUACUGGACCACGACUGACACUGAGGCACGAAAGCCAGGGGAGCAAACGGG